CCAGUUACCCGAGGAACAGAAGGUUCGCAACUCUCGGAGUACGUGAGAGAAAGCAUCGGAAUCCAGGUAGGGAUUCAGGACUCUCCUCGGUUAGUUGUUUUCUUAUAUAUUGUUAUUUAAGCGAUGCAUGUUAAGUGGUACGAUUUGGUUAAGUUCAAAUGCAAUGCAUACUAACCAAUCCGUGAGAAAAUGUGUGAUGGCUUGAGAGCGAAAGGUGGCUCUGACUUCCUUGGGUUCGAUCCCCAAAACCUCCGGAGGAUUAGUUACGCCGGUCGUCCGGGUAUUCCGAUAGUAAUAACGGGCCCGGUACGUGUGCGUAGCUAGGUAGCGGACGCUCUCGCUACGCUUACCUGGUGAUGAAGUAAAUUGAGUAUGGAUGCAGGUACUGUGCACUGGUGACGGGACAGUAGCGGAUGGAGCUGGGUGUGUGGAACAAGUUCGGUAAAUCUUUGUUUGGUUUCCAAUCUGAAUUAUACUUCGAAAUCUUCGUGUUCAGGACUUGUUGAAAUCUAGUCUCGUGUCAAAAUGAGUUGAAUUCUUUUCAUAGGGAUUCGUACCUCACGUUAGCUUUUAUCCAAGUUCUGGACGGAUGAGAUAGGUUUUAACAAAUUCAAGUUUUUCACCUCAAAAGUAUUUGUAGCUUCCGCUGUGUUUCUACAAAAAGUUUUUCAAAUAAAAUGCCUAGCGGUCUUUAGAAUGUAAAUCGAGCGUUCGGUUUAUGUUUUAGAGAUUCGCGGCACUGUUACGUGCUUAAGCUGGUGAGGUGCAGUUUGGGGCGUUACAGUGCUGAUCCUGAGGCUUGGGUGUGCGGCAGCUCAGAUGCUAGGGCUUCAAGUAGGUUGAGUGUUUGGGCUCCAAACAAGAUGUUGGGCUUAUUGUGGGCUCAAUUGGGUCCUGGUUUUUUAUUUUUUUAUUUUUUAUUUUUAUUCUAAAAGUGGGCUUUCUUAUUUUGUAUGAGGAGGCUUUAGUUUCUUUUCUGUCUACUUGAGUAGAAAAGAACACAAAGUAAAGAGAGACUCUGUUGGGCCCCAUUGGGCGUUAUUUUUA